GACGAACGCUGGCGGCGUGCCUAAUACAUGCAAGUCGAGCGAAGUUUUUCUGGUGCUUGCACUAGAAAAACUUAGCGGCGAACGGGUGAGUAACACGUAAAGAACCUGCCUCAUAGACUGGGACAACUAUUGGAAACGAUAGCUAAUACCGGAUAACAGUAUUUCUCGCAUGAGAGAUAUUUAAAAGUUGGUUAUGCUAACACUAUGAGAUGGCUUUGCGGUGCAUUAGCUAGUUGGUGGGGUAAAGGCCCACCAAGGCGACGAUGCAUAGCCGACCUGAGAGGGUGAUCGGCCACACUGGGACUGAGACACGGCCCAGACUCCUACGGGAGGCAGCAGUAGGGAAUCUUCCGCAAUGGGCGAAAGCCUGACGGAGCAACGCCGCGUGAGUGAAGAAGGGUUUCGGUUCGUAAAGCUCUGUUGUUAGGGAAGAAUGGAUAUGUAGUAACUAUACAUGUAAGAGACGGUACCUAACCAGAAAGCCACGGCUAACUACGUG
rnacentral:rRNA from 1 species